CGGAGAUCUGCUCUGCUGCAGUUUUGUAAGUGAGCCUAGGAUAGGGGCUGGUGCUCCACUGCCUUUCACUUUGAUACAUCUUCAACCAAGUACAGAAGUACAGAAAAGAGAGAGCAGCAAAUCUGAGCAUGUUGUGGCUGUGCUGAAGGAUUCUGCACUGCUGGGGGACAGCUGACGUCCGUGAAGCUGCCUCUGGGUUGGCCUUCAGCUUGCUCGUGCAUCCAGACACAGUGAACUGGAGCUUUGGCAUAGUGAAUUAAGAAGAAAGGAGGUUUCGAGAGAGGACAACACGCUUGUUUUUUCUGCUGCCUGCAGAACCAGCACUUGAUCUCAUGAGUUAGACGACUUUUGAAAGGUGCCUGGAAGUCCCUUGCAGAAGUUGCUGCUCCCAGGAAUGUGCUGACAUAAUGGCUCCUACAGAAGCGUGAAGCUGAAUCAGGUCCUUGCCCUGCUCUGUGCAGAAUUAUGUCCCAGUGAGGAGGGAUCAGAAAGAGGCUUCCUGAAAUACUGCCCUUGCACUAGAGUAAACAAUGCAGCAAAGCAGAGAAUUUCAGGGACCGGAGAUCAAUUUGCUGUGCGGACACUGCUGUCAAAACAGCUCUUUAAUCGCUUUGCCAGCAGUCAGGCUGGUUUCUCAUCGUUGUGUAUGAAGAUCUGAUGUUCACAGUCUGCUGCAGUCCCCAAAGAGGGUAAUUGCAUCCAGCUGAGGGUUCCAGAACUACACGGCGUAAAAGGAGCAGAUAUCCACAGCCCUUGGGCACUGAACAGUGCCACUCUCUCCCAAGUGGGAGAGUAGCCAGCUGUGACAUCCCCUGAGUGGAGCAGACACAUCAGCCAGAGGCCUGUGAGAACUUGGAACAUUAGGAGGGGUUGGAAACCAACAAGGCCUGGACUCCCAUGACUAUGUCCAACCACAGCUUGAGGGUAUUGUGCUAAAAGGCUGGCUGUACGUAACACCAGGUAUAGCAGCUGCUUGGAAAUGAUAGAUAUUUAAAUGCUGCUUUCUCCCAUCAGCCCUAUCGAGUCAGCAGGGCAGGGAGAGCUUGUCCUUCACAGCAUCCUUCCCUGCCCUCCAGGUCCUGCCAGCCCUGGUACCCCACAGCAUGCAUGGGUGAUCUCUGAAAGCCUCUGCUGGGCUAAACACCACCUGAUUCAGAGGGACAGCAGGAAGCCAGUGCUGGUGCUCAGUUCCCAGUCUGUGCAUGAGGUAGAAGUAAAACCAGCUGACUUCCUAUCAUGCUUGAGUGCAUCCACACUGGAGGUACCAAGUAAACGCAGGGACUGGUCCUUGGAUUUUGCUUUUUGGGUGGAUCUGCCUUUUAGAAUGGGGACAGAUGAAGAGCUGGAUCCUGUGACACAUCAAGCACGUGUCAGACUUACAUCUGCUGACUAGGCUGCUUUUCUUGGGGAUGGGUAAGGAAAGAAAGUGCUCUGUAAGUACAGGAGGAAGAGAAGGAAGUGAAUGUAAUCACUGGUUGCAUAUGCAAGGGUGGGUUGGUUGGUUUGUGUGGGUUUUUUUUGCCUUUCUUAUGCAUCCUCCUGAAUAAAGGUACUUUCUGGAGGCUCAAAUUUAGUUGUUAGGCAAUAUUCAGUGAAGAAUGAAACAUCUCCAUUUCAGGUUUUAAUUCCAAGGUGUGGUACCAAAGUUCUCAGACAGUCUUCCUUUGACACGAGUGGAAAGUUUUGCUGAAGAAGACUUCUGCUUUCAGUCAUGCUAUUGAAGGGCCUGGAUUACAGCUACUUUGUUUAAGAAUGCAUCACAGCAGGGAAGAAGUCCUCACCCCAAGGGCAGGAGAAGACCUGCACACAGAGCAGUGCAGCACAAGGAAAGAGAGAUUAUUUUUCUCUCAAGAAAGAUGUGUGAUGAAGGCCAGAGAAAAGCCCACUGGGAGCAUCUGCCAUUGGAGAUGCAAAUGUAAGAGCCAGUCUAUUUGAAGUUUGGCAACACUAAAGUAGGGAUCUGCCUCUUCCAGUGUUCCUGUGGACACAAGUGCAAGCAGAUAUUUGGAGGUUGUGUAUGAGCACUGACUGGAUCCUGCAUUUUCACUUUGGUGCUGAAGCUGUUGCUAUGAGUUCUUAGGCUGCCUGAGCACAACCUCAGAAGUGCUAUUGGUCUGAAAGCUUCUAUGACUGGAGUAUUUUACCUUCCUCAUUUUCACCGACGCAACAGAGAUCCAGAAGUACAGUGAGACUUCAGAGGGCACUGCGUUGUCUGUAGUACUUUGAAGAAACAAUAUGCUUUUUGAAACUGGUCUAGAGUCACUGCAGUACCUGGGCUGCUUUUGGUACCAGCAUGGAAGCAGGAAACUGUUCAACUCAGCACCAGUGACCGGUCUAAAACAGUCAUGCAGCCACUUCAAGCAUUUUGAUUUCCUGCAGAAUUGAAGAGUCAGAGAACAGGGAGACAGCUGUGCUGUCAUGGAGCAUAGGUGGAGAGCCCAGAUCUGAACUCCUCAGCCACAGAGGCAAACUCCUCUCAUUGGAAGGGGCUUGGUCCUGGAAAUUAACUACCACUAGAGAUCCAUUUGGACCUCCUUAGCAAAGAACAGCACCAAAGUGCUGCUACAUCUAUGAACACUUGAAGUAGGUAGAUAGAUUCAGGACUGCAUUGAAAAAAGAACCAACAGAUGGUUGGACUGGAUGAUCCUGUAAGUCUUUUCUAACCUUGGUGAUUUUAUGGUUUUUAUGAGAACAAGUGAUGUGAUGUGAUCACUGCUCCAGGGAGACCUUGCAACAUGUUUCCAGUAUCUAAAGAGACUAUGUGAAAGUAAUAGGACCACAAGUAACAGCUUCAAACUAAAAGAAGGUAGGUUCAGAUUGGAUGUUAGGAGGAAACUCUUCACUAAAGGACAGUGAGGACCCGGCACUGCUGCCCAGAGAGCCGUGGGUGCCCCAUCCCUGGAGGUCAUA